rnacentral:tRNA from 1 species
GCCUGGGUGGCUCAGUCAGUUAAGCGUCUGACUUCAGCUCAGGUCAUGAUCUCGAGGUUUGUGGGUUUGAGCCCCGCAUCGGGCU